CUUGUUGGUGGGGUGAUGGCCUACCAAGGCGACGACGGGUAGCCGGCCUGAGAGGGCGACCGGCCACACUGGGACUGAGAUACGGCCCAGACUCCUACGGGAGGCAGCAGUGGGGAAUAUUGCGCAAUGGGCGGAAGCCUGACGCAGCGACGCCGCGUGGGGGAUGACGGCCUUCGGGUUGUAAACCUCUUUCGCCAUCGACGAAGGCCUUUGGGUUGACGGUAGGUGGAGAAGAAGCACCGGCCAACUACGUGCCAGCAGCCGCGGUAAUACGUAGGGUGCGAGCGUUGUCCGGAAUUAUUGGGCGUAAAGAGCUCGUAGGCGGUGUGUCACGUCGAUCGUGAAAACGUACAGCUUAACUGUGCGCGUGCGGUCGAUACGGGCAUCACUGGAGUUCGGCAGGGGAGACUGGAAUUCCUGGUGUAGCGGUGAAAUGCGCAGAUAUCAGGAGGAACACCGGUGGCGAAGGCGGGUCUCUGGGCCGAUACUGACGCUGAGGAGCGAAAGCGUGGGGAGCGAACAGGAUUAGAUACCCUGGUAGUCCACGCCGUAAACGGUGGGCGCUAGGUGUGGGGAUCAUUCCACGGUCUCUGUGCCGCAGCUAACGCAUUAAGCGCCCCGCCUGGGGAGUACA
rnacentral:rRNA from 1 species